GAGCGGAGCGAGGGUGCUUGCACCUUAGCUUAUCGGCGGACAGGUGAGUAAUGCUUAUGAAUCUGCCUAUUAUUGGGGGACAACAUUCCCAAAGGGAUGCUAAUACCGCAGACGCCCUACGGGGGAAAGCAGGGGAUCUUCUGACCUUGCGCUAAUACAUGAACCUAAAUCUGAUUACCUAGUUGGUGGGGUAAAUGCCUACCAAGGGGACCAUCUGUGCCAGGUCUGAUAGGAUGAUCCGCCACACUGGGACUGACACUCGGCCCAAACUCCUACCGGAAG
rnacentral:rRNA from 1 species